GCUUACGGCCAUACCAGCCUGAAUACGCCCGAUCUCGGAAGCUAAGCAGGGUCGGGCCUGGUUAGUACUUGGAUGGGAGACCGCCUGGGAAUACCAGGUGCUGUAAGCU
ensembl:rRNA 5S_rRNA 5S ribosomal RNA